ACUUUAGAAAGUUUGACCCUCGGAUGACCUCUGACCUCCUCUGCCAACACAAGCACAAAAAGCAGGAUAUCUAUCUGAAUGAGGACUUCCAGACCAGCUUCACAACGAAACUGGAAAUCCAGCUACAGAAUACCAAAUAUUCCCAUAGGAAUGCUUCCUCCAGCCAACAUUCCUCCAGUUGCCCAACAUAAGUCCGACAAAUUGUGAGAAGAAGAAGAAAGAAAAAAGAAAAAAAGUUGCUGCAUAAUGUGACCAACCCCAUAGGCAAUAAUGAAAGGGCAAUGCCAGCUUGUUUGGGAAUGAACGGUGACCGGAUUUGCUUUUUGAAAUAACCAGCGAAAGAGUUUCUGUGUACUUGGUUUUAGGGAGUUAGCCUUCAAAGGUUUUAGGGGACAGUGUCACAAAACUUAGAUUCCUGAGAGUUGAGUCAGUGCUAUUGGCGGUUCCCUAUAUCGUCAUUGCUAAUAUUGAUCCUAGAGGUCGGCCUUUGACCUCUCCCACCAUUCGCUUUUCCAUAUCCAGUGUUAUCUGAGAACAUCUGCAGCUAAGGUUCACAAGGGUCAGAGUACACAGAAUGUAAACACUGCACAGCGCCAUUAACACAUCACUGUACUCAGCACACAUUCAUGUGAGGUACACUUCUGUUUCUGUUAAAUGGAGUGUGAAUGUUCAUCGUUGUGCUAAUUUCCUGCUGUCAAAACAAAGAAGAUUAAACAUUUGCAAAAAAUAAAUAAUUAAAAAAAUACAUGCGCCACUAUACUUCCAGUCUUCUGCAAAAUAUGAUCAAGCCUGUUUAGUGCCUUCAUGAAAUAUUCAAAUACAAUUUUUUGGAAUAUGUAAAAAUAAAACAAAGUACCAGGGUCCUUUUGCAUAACACACAAGCUUGGUCACUUCCCAUCCAAGUUAACUAAUAUUAAUGUGCAAAGAUUUCCACCUGUAAUCAGUGUCAAUAGAGUGCUGCAGUGAUGCUUUGUUUUUUGUAGGACAAGCCGGAAGUUAACAUAACCCUGGUUCCAUCUUAAAAAAAAAAAAAAAAAAAAAAAAAAAAAAAGGAUUUUUCCAUUAGCUUUUGGAUUAUUUCCGAAAAUAAGCUCUGUGAGUAACAAAAGUUUGAUUCUCACGUUUUGUUUAUUAUGAUAAUCUUCACAAAUGAACACAACUUUUAUGACUUUUGAAGUCUAGAUACAAUCAGCCCAAGUAAAAAGCUAAAUGUAGGCUAUAAACAAACUACACCACAGUCACAUGAUUUCAACGUCACCAGCAUUAAAGGGUUAGUUCACCCAAAAAUGAAAUUAGUCCAUAAAUUACUAACGGUUCAAGGCAUCCUAGGUGUAUAUGACUUUCUUCUUUCAGAUGAAUCCAGUCGGAGUUAUAUUAAAAAUUGUCUUUGAUCUUUCAAGCUGUUUAAUAGCAGUCAGCG
rnacentral:lncRNA from 1 species